rnacentral:rRNA from 1 species
AAGUAAAAGUCGUAACAAGGUCUCCGUUGGUGAACCAGCGGAGGGAUCAUUACCGAGUUUACAACUCCCAAACCCCUGUGAACAUACCACUUGUUGCCUCGGCGGAUCAGCCCGCUCCCGGUAAAACGGGACGGCCCGCCAGAGGACCCCUAAACUCUGUUUCUAUAUGUAACUUCUGAGUAAAACCAUAAAUAAAUCAAAACUUUCAACAACGGAUCUCUUGGUUCUGGCAUCGAUGAAGAACGCAGCAAAAUGCGAUAAGUAAUGUGAAUUGCAGAAUUCAGUGAAUCAUCGAAUCUUUGAACGCACAUUGCGCCCGCCAGUAUUCUGGCGGGCAUGCCUGUUCGAGCGUCAUUUCAACCCUCAAGCACAGCUUGGUGUUGGGACUCGCGUUAAUUCGCGUUCCUCAAAUUGAUUGGCGGUCACGUCGAGCUUCCAUAGCGUAGUAGUAAAACCCUCGUUACUGGUAAUCGUCGCGGCCACGCCGUUAAACCCCAACUUCUGAAUGUUGACCUCGGAUCAGGUAGGAAUACCCGCUGAACUUAAGCAUA